rnacentral:lncRNA from 1 species
UGCUCCAGAGGAAGAUAAAUGUAAAUGCUUGAAAAAACACAGUUGAGAGAAUAAUUGAAAAUGGGUUCAAUGUCUUCAUCCUCUGAAGCUUCCCUCUGGUGUGGGUAGGUUUCACAGAGGGGUUCUGGCUUGUAAAGGUUAACCAUGCAGAAAUCAAGGCUUUGUGCAUUUUUGCAAAGGUCACACUCAUCAGCAGUUCCGGAAA